ACGGGAGGCAGCAGUAGGGAAUCUUCCGCAAUGGGCGAAAGCCUGACGGAGCAACGCCGCGUGAGUGAUGAAGGUCUUCGGAUCGUAAAACUCUGUUAUUAGGGAAGAACAAACGUGUAAGUAACUGUGCACGUCUUGACGGUACCUAAUCAGAAAGCCACGGCUAACUACGUGCCAGCAGCCGCGGUAAUACGUAGGUGGCAAGCGUUAUCCGGAAUUAUUGGGCGUAAAGCGCGCGUAGGCGGUUUCUUAAGUCUGAUGUGAAAGCCCACGGCUCAACCGUGGAGGGUCAUUGGAAACUGGAAAACUUGAGUGCAGAAGAGGAAAGUGGAAUUCCAUGUGUAGCGGUGAAAUGCGCAGAGAUAUGGAGGAACACCAGUGGCGAAG
rnacentral:rRNA from 2 species